ACAUAUUUCUCUUUUCCAAUUCAUUUCAAGUCUUUGAUUAUUGGAUAUGAAAUCUUUUUCUCUUUCCCCAAAUUCAACAAUGGAGCGGUCUGAUUCUCUUUUGACUGGAGCAUCAUCAAGAUCUUGCAAAUAUGUCCUAACCACACUUAUGCAGAAGAUUCUUAAAUUUUAUGAGUCUGAUACUAUGGAAAGGCUUCGAAUUUCCUUUGGAAUGAAGUUCUACGUCUGCUGUAAAAGCAUCUACAAGAUGGCCAAAUCUUGCCUCUACAACAGGCAACACACAUGUUUUGUGAUACUGGAAGGCUCGGAUGUCUAAAUUUUAUGAGGCUGAACAGAACUUUAGGCCAUUGAUUACUAUGGAAAAGGCAGUGGAUUUCCUCUGGAAUGAAGAAGCACUACUUCUGCUUGUUAUACAAUUAUUGGAUAUGAAAUCUCUUUCUCUUUCCCCAAAUUCAACAAUGGAGGGGUCUGAUUCACAAUAACAGGGCUGGUAAUGCCAUAAAUACAAGAGUUCUUGCCUCUGAAAAUGCGUUGGCAGACCGAAGGAACGGGAGAGUCAUAAGUGGGGGAAGCCAAAACUUUUGACUUCAGUUUGACUGGAGCAUCGUCAAGAUCUUGCAAAUAUGUCAUAAAUACAAUUAUGCAGAAGAUUCCUAGAUUUUAUGAGUCUGAUACUAUGGAAAGGCUUUGAAUUUCCUUUGGAAUGAAGUACUAUGUCUGCUGUAAAAGCAUCUACAAGAUAUGCCAAAUCUUGCCUCUACAACAGGCAACACACAUGUUUUGUGAUACUGAAAGGCUUGGAUGUCUAAAUUUUAUGAGACUGAACAGAACUUUAGGCCAUUGAUUGCUAUGGAAAAGGCAGUGGAUUUCCUCUGGAAUGAAGAAGCACUACUUCUGCUUGCUAAACAGUAAGCAUACUUGCUAUGAUGAUGUUAAAGUUAUUCAUAUACAUUGGUGCCUUUUUAACGUUCUGGGAAUUAUCGUUUUGUAUGCAUCCAAACAGAACAUUUUUCCAUUUGGCUCAAAUCAUAAUUUACAUUUAAUUUGUCUGGCACUUAGGCUUGUUUUCCAAAGAAAUGAUUACUACUGCCAACCAAUGCAAGUAUAAAGUUGCAAAAGUUUAUGCUUGAACCUUUGAAAAGGCACAUUGUAUUAAAUUUAUUUAAUAGUGGAUUAAACUCCUUAGCUUGCUAAAGGAGAGGAUGUAGGCACCUAGAGAAAGGGCCGAACCUCUAUAAAUAGUGUGUGAAAUUUUCUCUUUACUCUUCACCAUUAAUUUAUAUCUUCGAUGUGGUUAAUCACAAUUUAAUAGAAG
rnacentral:sRNA from 1 species